GUAGUCAUAUGCUUGUCUCAAAGAUUAAGGCAUGCAUGUCCAAGUAUAAGCAAAAACGAGAGUGAAACUGCGAAUGGCUCAUUAUAUAAGUUAUCGUUUAUUUGAUAGUGCCUAUCCUACACGGAUAACAGUGGUAAUUCUAGAGCUAAUACGUGCCAAAUGCCCCGACUUCGGAAGGGGCGUGCUUGUCAGAAUCAGAGCCAAUGCCCUUGUGGCUCACUGGUGGCUCAUAACAAUCCCACAGAUCGCAUGGCCUUGUGCAGGCGAUGGCUCAUUCAAAUUUCUUCCCUAUCAACUUUCGACGGUACGGUCUUGGCCUACCGUGGUUACAACGGGUAACGGGGAAUAA
rnacentral:rRNA from 1 species